AAUACCCUGCUACUUGCGAAGUCUCAAGUUCCACUUGGGAUACGCCCAAACACAAUCCUUUAUGGACUUGUAACGGGCAUAGCAAGAGCGGGGCUUU
rnacentral:sRNA from 17 species